GACGAACGCUGGCGGCGUGCUUAACACAUGCAAGUCGUACGGUAAGGCCCUUUCGGGGGUACACGAGUGGCGAACGGGUGAGUAACACGUGAGUAACCUGCCCACAACUUUGGGAUAACGCUAGGAAACUGGUGCUAAUACUGGAUAUGUGCUCCUGCUGCAUGGUGGGGGUUGGAAAGCUCCGGCGGUUGUGGAUGGACUCGCGGCCUAUCAGCUUGUUGGUGGGGUAGUGGCCUACCAAGGCGGCGACGGGUAGCCGGCCUGAGAGGGUGACCGGCCACAGUGGGACUGAGAGACGGCCCAGACACCGACGGGAGGCAGCAGGGGGGAAUAUUGCACAAUGGGCGCAAGCCUGAUGCAGCAACGCCGCGGGCGGGAUGACGGCCUUCGGGUUGUAAACCGCUUUCAGCAGGGACGAAGCUUUUUGUGACGGUACCUGCAGAAGAAGCACCGGCUAACUACGUG
rnacentral:rRNA from 1 species